AUACGUAGGGUGCAAGCGUUAAUCGGAAUUACUGGGCGUAAAGCGUGCGUAGGUGGCUAAUUAAGUCAAAUGUGAAAUCCCCGAGCUUAACUUGGGAAUUGCAUUCGAUACUGGUUAGCUAGAGUAUGGGAGAGGAUGGUAGAAUUCCAGGUGUAGCGGUGAAAUGCGUAGAGAUCUGGAGGAAUACCGAUGGCGAAGGCAGCCAUCUGGCCUAAUACUGACACUGAGGUGCGAAAGCAUGGGGAGCAAACAGGAUUAGAUACCCUGGUAGUCCAUGCCGUAAACGAUGUCUACUAGCCGUUGGGGCCCUUGAGGCUUUAGUGGCGCAGCUAACGCGAUAAGUAGACCGCCUGGGGGGUACGGUCGCAAGACUAAAACUCAAAUGAAUUGACGGGG
rnacentral:rRNA from 1 species